rnacentral:rRNA from 1 species
UACGUAGGGGGCAAGCGUUGUCCGGAAUCAUUGGGCGUAAAGCGCGUGUAGGCGGCUCGGUAAGUCUGCUGUGAAAGUCCAGGGCUCAACCCUCGGAUGCCGGUGGAUACUGUCGGGCUUGAGUACGGAAGAGGCGAGUGGAAUUCCUGGUGUAGCGGUGAAAUGCGCAGAUAUCAGGAGGAACACCUAUUGCGAAGGCAGCUCGCUGGGACGUUACUGACGCUGAGACGCGAAAGCGUGGGGAGCAAACAGG